AAAGGUGUAACAAAAUAUAUAUUUGUACAUAAAAAUGUCCAGCUUCUAAAUUCUUUUCCUCUCAUUCUCAAUCAUCACUCUUCUCACAAACAUACUUAAACAAAUGAACAUCAAAAACUUGCACAUGUACCAAAUCUUGAAUGAAUUAGGCAUUGUACUAUAAAUCUUCUACAAUCACGAUAGUACCACAAAAAUCUUCCAAAGAUCAAUCAAAAAUCUGUAAAUAGAUCAUUGAUGAGCUGCCUUCAAUCAUUUUUAUGCCUUCUUCACCACUAAAAAUCUCAAACCUUCCCUCUCUCUCGUGUAUUCGAUGACACAGGUGGCUGCCGCCACCACCACAUCCCCACACUCAAUCUUUCCCAUUCGAUGUUGCCUCCUUCUCUGUCAAACAAUCAAAAUCCAAAUACCUCAAUGAUUUCUAUCAAUCAAUUAAACAAAAAAAAAAAAAAAAAAAAAAAAAAGAAGGAACCUGUGAAGCUGCCGGCCAUGGCGCCCUCCUCCUCCUUCUCUGUCUUCCAUCGUCGUCUAGCACCACCUAAACACCCCGGUUAAUGGUUUCCGAUCGGCAGCAAGCUAAUCACCAAACACCACUCCACCAUUGACGGUUGAUGUUGUUGUUCCGUUGACUUCUGCGGUCGGCGACAAGAAAGGAGCACGAGGACUCGCCGGAGACUGAUCGCUGCUACAAUUCGUCGCCGGAGAAACCCACACCCUUCCUCACUCGUUCUUCCUGUCGAUCAAACAACUUAAAACAAACCCCCACCAAAUGUUGUUCCAGUUCCGAUCCACACCUCCAUCUUCCCUUUGUGUUACCUGCCAAAAUCAGAAGAGAAAAGGCGACGAGUAACAGCCGGAGCCGCCUCUCGCCACCAUUGCUGUCGACUACAGCCUCUCCCGUCGACCUUGCUGCCGUUUUCUUGGCUCACUGCCGGCGGAGAUUAAAGCAAUCCAAAUGAGGCUCUCCGGAGAUCGAUUCCUCCUCCCCACCUAUUAGCCAUCGCCGGAGAUUGGACCCUUCUCGUGGUUCCGUUUGUUCGUCGCUCCCUCUGUUCCUAUACUCGAUUUGACGAACAAAUGAAGAAGAUGAGGCGUCAAAUCCCUUGUACCCC
rnacentral:lncRNA from 1 species